rnacentral:tRNA from 1 species
GCUCCGGUAGAAGCAUACUGUCUGCCGACUAUAGCCCGGCUAAGUAUUCCGGCCUUUCGAGCCGGAGACCCGGGUUCAAAUCCCGGCCGGAGCACCA